UAAGCCGUUGAAGGUGUCCUGUGAGGGGUGCUGGAGGUAUCAGAAGUGCGAAUGCUGACAUAAGUAACGAUAAAGCGGGUGAAAAGCCCGCUCGCCGGAAGACCAAGGGUUCCUGUCCAACGUUAAUCGGGGCAGGGUGAGUCGACCCCUAAGGCGAGGCCGAAAGGCGUAGUCGAUGGGAAACGGGUUAAUAUUCCCGUACUUGGUGUUACUGCGAAGGGGGGACGGAGAAGGCUAUGUUGGCCGGGCGACGGUUGUCCCGGUUUAAGCGUGUAGGUGUGUGUUCCAGGUAAAUCCGGUUCACUUUAACACUGAGGCGUGAUGACGAGGCACCACGGUGCUGAAGCAACAAAUGCCCUGCUUCCAGGAAAAGCCUCUAAGCAUCAGGUAACAUCAAAUCGUACCCCAAACCGACACAGGUGGUCAGGUAGAGAAUACCAAGGCGCUUGAGAGAACUCGGGUGAAGGAACUAGGCAAAAUGGUGCCGUAACUUCGGGAGAAGGCACGCUGACAC
rnacentral:rRNA from 4 species